AUGAUCAGCUGAUUUGAUUAUUAAAUGAACCCACCAUGACCUGUGACCAGGCUGAAGCUCUUACUGAAAGUGAGUGAGGGAGUUUCUGCAUGACGGGGUGUUUCUCGGAACUGAAGACGAUUUGCUCUGUAGCGUACUUUAACCAUUUUUUUGUGGUGUGAUCUCGAGUCCAAAUUCCACCCGUGUCUCCAAAUACUGGACAGAAUCCUGUGGAAAAAACCCAAACAAACAAACAUGUGCAUUGCAAAACUGGGCUUUCAAAACUGUAUAUAAAGCUGAGCCACUUUUGGGGGGCAAAUACUGAGAUUUCAGACACUUGGCUGAAGAAAACGUCCUUACGGCUUUGUGAUCGUAAAGAGUAGGCUCUUUAAGAAGCAUCAUCAUGGCGUUGUGUCGGUUUGGCCUGGUUUUGCAGUUGGUGUUGUGUGUCGCACUGCCUGCUGAAGCCCAGCCUCCUGAUGUGAAGCUUCGCUACCAAAACUUCCUGAAUCAGCAUGUUUAUCCUACAAUGACUGAGGCUCAGUGUACCAGCGUGAUUGGAUUCAGGGAAAUCACUGAUGGGAACACCAACAACUGCAAAGAAGUGAAUACCUUCAUAAAGGCCAAUAUAAAAGAUAUCAUUCCCGUGUGUGGGGGCGCCACGGGUCGUUUUACAAGCGGUCAAGGUUUCCCUGUGGUCACUUGCAAGCUACACUCUGGAGAAAGACGGCCAAGGUGUGACUACGGCAAAAAAGGUCAUAAGAGCACUCGAUACAUUACAAUAGCAUGUGAUCAGGGUUGGCCCGUGCAUUACCAGGAAGACACAGUUGUUGUAGGCUGAAAUUUUCAAAAGUCAGAUGUUUACUGAUGCUCUUAAAAGUACCUAUCCAAUCAAUCUGCAGCUAAACUAAUGUUUAACGAUCCUGAUUGAUCUGAUUUUAAUUUAAAAAAAUUUUUUUACUUCAGUGAAUCUCUGAGGUGGUUGUGUCGAAGCCAGAAAAAUAUUUGAAUCAUUUAUUUCUAGAAUCUUUUAUUUCUCUGUAUUAACUACAUUAUACGUUUUCCAGAUGUUUCACUCACAUACUGUUUUUGUUCAGGUGGUUUUUGUUCAUUGUGGUAACACACCUUUUAAAUUGGACGGGGUCAGGGGGAUAAAAAAAACAAAACAAUCAUAGGAUAAUUUAAACGUAUGGGUUAAAUAUAUAGUUUCUAUGCAUUUUAAUUUAUAUUCAAUUCUUUGUUGAAAAAAAAAAUUAAAUAAACAAAUGCAGUUUCAA